GGACGCCCGCGUAUGGAGUGGAUGUCGCCCAUUUUCGAACUAGCAUAAACAGCUGCACAGUUUCUACGACCACGGCUGUCGACUGAGCCUUUGGAACUGAAGUCAUCCCGAAUUAUAAUAAAUGCGUUGCAAUGGAUCGCUUAGCGGGACCACGAUGUCAAUUAGCGCUCAUUCGUUCAUGACACAUCCGAAAUAAAAAUAUUCUGCAUUUUGCUGCGGC